CUCCCUGGCAUGUUCCCCCUCUCGCUGGCCUCUUGUGUAAACCUCGCUACCGCAUCAGGUGGCUGGAGGCAGGAGUGGGAGGAGCCGUCUCUGAGCUGGGCAAAUAAGGUAAGAGAGUCAUGUCUCUUUAAUUUGAACUCACUAGUUUAUUUCUGUGUUUUGAACCUCUAUUAUGAAGCUAGCGUGCUGGUCGCAUGGCUGAUGGAACCUGAAUUCUAGGGGUCUGCAUUUGGGGGGUCCAGAUUCCGGAGCCUAAGUGUCAGAAUGCAGGAACCUGGGUUUGGACCUAUAAUCCCAGGUGCAAUCGGAGGUGGCUGAUGCUGGGCUGGUGAGCCUGGAGGGAAGUGCCCCCUGUGUGGGGUCAGAGAGGCGGAAGAGCGGGACACACAUGAUCAGUAGCCAAGCGUGUGGCAAGCCGGAGGCGGUUCGCGUGAGGAAGAAAGGCAGCGACCACCUUGGGAGUGUGCGACGAGAGCAGGACUUCGAGCAGAAGAGGGGAGAGCCCUAAACAGCCAGGACAGCCACGGGGAGGACAUUAAAGAGGAAACACGCGUGCUGCCGCAUCCGUGUAUCCAUCAGCUGGUGCUGCAUAACAAGCAGCCCCCAGUACACACGCACACACGAGGUGGUCCUGGUCAACAGGGUCAACAGGAAGGGCCACCAGGAUCCGAUGGGGGCUCCACACCAAUCACCUCAGUGACCUUGUCCAACCCUGAUCACCCCGGGGCCACCUCUGAACACUGUGGUCAGGUUGAAGCGCCUCCCUCCUGAUACCUCAGCAGACUGGACUCCCGCUGUGUUUCAGAGGAUGAACCCGGCUCAGACCCACGGAGUCUGAGGGCAGGGCAGAGGGGAUGUCCCCUCUCCAGUGCCAGGGGCAGGAGGGCUCUCUGGCUCCAGGAGAACCAGCCCUUCCUUCCAUUCUGGCCUUUACCUGGUUGGACCAGGCCCACCACUCAAGGGAGGCCCUCCCCAGUUACCGCGUCACCUGAACCCCUCGCAGACACAUCUGGAACAACGUUGGGCCCAGCUUCUGGGCACCCGUGGCCCAGCUGUGUCAACACACAAAAGGCACCUCCACCGACUCAGGGAGGCUCGCUGGACCCUGCUGGCCACAGGAGCGUCCCCGGUCCUGGAGUCCUGCCUGCUUCAUCGUCUCCGAGGGAUUUUACAAGUGUGGACUUUGCAAAAUACCAAAGACCAUACAGGAGGUUCCCGCCCAGCCUCCCCAAGGCUGGCCUUUGUCCCCAGCUGCUGGGAGGUGACCUCUAGGCCCCAGGAAUGUCCCUCCUGAUGGGUAUGUCUCCGUUUGCCUGGAGUCUGUGGCCUGGGACAGUCCCAUCUGACAAUAGGAGGAACGAGGGUUUGGGCCAGGCUCUCUGGGGACCAGCCUCCAGGCAAGAGCUCAGCCAGGCAGGCCGUGUGGAGGCCGGGCCGGGCUUCCCUGCUUGGGAGGACUCCUGGGACCCCCCCGGACUUGGCUUGGUGCCUGGCCUUCCUUGGUCAAUUGGAAUUUGUAUCCUGUAGCCACAAUAAAACCGUGAACGUA